rnacentral:ncRNA from 2 species
AUGAUGGUAAAGGGAGAGACUACGUUGUUUCGUAACGUAGCGCCGAAGGAGCAAACAAUUGUGAAUCUCUCAGGCAAAGCAGACUUUUACUUGACG